rnacentral:rRNA from 1 species
CGGGGGGAGCAAGCGUUGUUCGGAUUUACUGGGCGUAAAGGGCGCGUAGGCGGUCAGCACAAGUCAGUUGUGAAAUCUCCGGGCUUAACUCGGAAAGGUCAACUGAUACUGUGCGACUAGAGUGCGGAGGGGCAACUGGAAUUCUCGGUGUAGCGGUGAAAUGCGUAGAUAUCGAGAGGAACACCUGCGGCGAAGGCGGGUUGCUGGGCCGACACUGACGCUGAUGCGCGAAAGCCAGGGGAGCGAACGGGAUUAGAUACCCCGGUAGUCCUGGCCUUAAACGAUGGAUGCUUGGUGUCUGGAGUUUUAUAGUCUCCGGGUGCCGUAGCUAACGCGUUAAGCAUCCCGCCUGGGGAGUACGGUCGCAAGACUG